rnacentral:rRNA from 1 species
UACGUAGGCAGCAAGCGUUGUUCGGAAUUACUGGGCGUAAAGGGUGCGUAGGCGGUUUGGUAAGUCUUAUGUGAAAUCUACAGGCUCAACUUGUAGUCUGCAUGAGAAACUGCCGGGCUUGAGUGUGGGAGAGGUGAGUGGAAUUCCUGGUGUAGCGGUGAAAUGCGUAGAUAUCAGGAGGAACACCUGUGGCGAAAGCGGCUCACUGGACCAUAACUGACGCUGAUGCACGAAAGCUAGGGGAGCAAACAGG